rnacentral:rRNA from 1 species
ACGGAAGGCAGCAGUGGGGAAUAUUGGGCAAUGGGCGAAAGCCUGACCCAGCGACGCCGCGUGAGGGAAGACGGUCUUCGGAUUGUAAACCUUAGUCAACAGGGAAGAAAGAAAUGACGGUACCUGUGGAGGAAGCCACGGCUAACUACGUGCCAGCAGCCGCGGUAAUACGUAGGUGGCAAGCGUUAUCCGGAUUUACUGGGUGUAAAGGGUGUGUAGGCGGGGAGGCAAGUCAGAUGUGAAAACUAUGGGCUCAACUCAUAGCUUGCAUUUGAAACUGUUUUUCUUGAGGAUCGGAGAGGUAAAUGGAAUUCCCAGUGUAGCGGUGAAAUGCGUAGAUAUUAGGAGGAACACCAGUGGCGAAGGCGGCUUACUGGACGGUAACUGACGUUGAGGCUCGAAAGCGUGGGGAGCAAACAGGAUUAGAUACCCUGGUA